GCUCUGUUGUUAGGGAAGAACAAGUGCAAGAGUAACUGCUUGCACCUUGACGGUACCUAACCAGAAAGCCACGGCUAACUACGUGCCAGCAGCCGCGGUAAUACGUAGGUGGCAAGCGUUGUCCGGAAUUAUUGGGCGUAAAGGGCUCGCAGGCGGUUUCUUAAGUCUGAUGUGAAAGCCCCCGGCUCAACCGGGGAGGGUCAUUGGAAACUGGGAAACUUGAGUGCAGAAGAGGAGAGUGGAAUUCCACGUGUAGCGGUGAAAUGCGUAGAGAUGUGGAGGAACACCAGUGGCGAAGGCGACUCUCUGGUCUGUAACUGACGCUGAGGAGCGAAAGCGUGGGGAGCGAACAGGAUUAGAUACCCUGGUAGUCCACGCCGUAAACGAU
rnacentral:rRNA from 1 species